UAAAAAACCAAAACAAAACGCUUUCAAGGACAAACACUCUUUUUAAUGUCACAAUCUUGUGGCUUGACGGUGUAAUAUGGUAGUUUGAAGUAACACGGUGCGUUUGUUUUAUCAUGGUCUGCAAAUUUCUUGUGUGUUUUGUUUAUUAAUUAACAGAAAAGAGCACUUUUAAGUCACAUUGUGCAUUAGCCAAUCCUAUGCUGUUUUGUCAUCACGCGGGAAGUUAGUUGACUGUAUGCUCGCAGGUCCAGUGUGGAUGGUUAAGAAACCCCUCUGCACGGGGCGAGAGCAUUACCCCGCUGCUGCCAAAGUGUUAUUUAUUUAAGUAAACGUUUUGCAUGGAUUUCAGUUGUUGUGUGCCUUUUUCACGCCUCCACUGACACUUAAUAGUGUCAUAGGAUAAAUGCACAACAAUAUAGCGACAGAGACGGAGUGUACAGUUUCCAUCCAAGUACACCACUUCAGUCCAAUAAAGACACGCUUCGUCAAGAAAAACAUCAGCUUGAUGAGAGUCGUGCUGUUACUUGUGAAGAUGAUGGAGUAGGGAGUGGGGUGAAGGAGCAAAAGUUGAAGAAGAAAUCGAGGUUUUGGAGGAAGCUGGCCUGAUUCAGCUUUUCAAGCGCAAGAACUGGAAGGGGUGAAAAGGUGGAGCAGGUCACCGAAGCAGAAUCUUCUACUGAUUAUCAAACCUCUGUUGGGAACAACUCAUGCACCGCUGAGGACUGUAAUUACCAGCAAGCUCCCAACAGUAGCCUUGAGGUUUCUCCCCCCACUGUUGACCUGGAGCAGUGUGAGAAGGUGGAGCAGGACACCCAAGCAGAACCUUCUAGUUAUGAUCAAACCUCUGCAGGGAAAAUCUCAUGCAUUAUUGAGGACAAUGAUUACCAGCAAGCUCUUUACAGCCUUAAGGUUCCUCCCUCCACUAUUGACCUGCAAAUCCAGCAGGAGGAAGAAACUUCUACUGAUGAUCAAACCUCAGUGGAGAUCACAUUAGAGAGUUUUGGUCCCCAGGACACUAACUGUAGCCUUGAGAUUCCUCUCUACACCAAUAAAUCCAGGAGCAAUGUGAGAAGGGGGAGCAGGAGGCAGAAUCUUCUACUGAUG